rnacentral:rRNA from 1 species
UAGGGAAUUUUGCGCAAUGGGCGAAAGCCUGACGCAGCAACACCGCGUGAAUGUUAAGCCCUUCGGGGUGUAAAGUUCUGUCAAUUGGGACGAAUUUUGACUGUACCAAUAAAGGAAGCACCGGCUAACUCCGUGCCAGCAGCCGCGGUAAUACGGGGGGUGCAAGCGUUGUCCGGAAUCAUUGGGUGUAAAGCGUUCGUAGGCGGCACGUCAAGUUUGGUGUCAAAGCCCGGGGCUCAACUCCGGUUCGGCAUUGGAUACUGGCGAGCUAGAAUGCGGUAGAGGUGAUGGGAAUUCCUGGUGUAGCGGUGAAAUGCGUAGAUAUCAGGAGGAACACCGGUGGCGAAAGCGCAUCACUGGGCCGUUAUUGACGCUGAGGAACGAAAGCCAGGGGAGCAAAUGGG